CUAAAUCCAGUGAUGACCUUCCUUUAAUCUCCUUCUCAAAAUCCUCUUUGUAAACUUUCUGUUAAAUAAGACCACAUAAUUUUAAAGUUAGCAAAUAUCAGUGACCAUUGAAAAGAGAUUUGAACAAGAGUUCCCAGAACAAAAAUGAUGUUUUCUUAGGUAGUUCUACCACCUGAGGGUCAUCCUAUCAACAGGGAAAUAAGUUCAACUUUGUCAUAAAUUUUAGAAUUCUACCAAACAAAGGAGAAUUAUUAAGUGGACUCUUCCUCUGGUAAAUCAUUCUAAGUGAGGCUUCCUAACAUCUUACUAGCCUAGGAUUAAUAUCAGCCCAUUUUUUGGAGGAGAACCAACAAGACUGGCUAUUUGACUGGAUCCCCCAAUUGGUUUACUCCAAGAUUCCUCUUCAUUGGCUUAAGAAGAUACAAGACAGGAGUCUCCAAUCCUUAGACCAUGGACCAAUAUCAACCAUGGCCAGUUAGCAACCCGGUAACAAAGCAGGAGGAAUAUGUUUAAUACUGUUCAAAAGAAGAGAAGGAAAGAAAAGCAAAAAGAACAGAGGAAAAGAAACCCAGAGGCAAGGAAUAAAAAAGUCCUAUACAAAAAGACUCCACCACAAAGAAGAUUGAGAGGCACAAGGAAAAUCAGCCCUGAGAAGUAAAUACUGUUGCUGUCAUCCCUAUUUUACAAAUGAGGAAACAAAAAUAGAGAAAUGAAGCAAUUUGUCCAAGAUCACUCUGCUGGCAAGCAACAGAACCAGGAGUUUAACCCAGAUCAUAGCAGAGAACAAACAAGGAGGAGGAAGAACAGGAGGAGGAGGGGGAAAAGAGGAGGAAGAAGAAAGAAAGAUUAAAGAAGAAGAAAGAAGGAAGGAGGAGGGGAGAAAAAGAAAAUAAUAAUAAUGAUAGUCUCAAUUUUAGACUAUUAUGUACCAUAUUAAGGACUUAACAUUCACUCCCUCACUCAUACAUUUUUUCAAGGUAAAUGUGCUGUUAACCCCAUAGCAUAGACACCUCUGGACUUCUGAAACAGAAUCCUGUGACCACCGUGGAUGAAACAUAGACUCUCAUUAAGCUGCAGUUCCAAUGCCUGAGUAGCGUGAAUUGCUUCUAUGAUAAGGCAUUAUUUAGCCUUUGCCUGAAACAGCCCUAAUGAGAAGGAUCUCGCCACCUCAUGGCAUGGUCCAGUUCAUUUUCAGAAGCUUUCUUUGUAAUCUGUGCUUAUAAAAUUGUUAACAGGGGAUAGCUAAUAAAAUGGCCUCCUAAAAACUCUACAUCUCUCUCUCUUUUUCUGGCAUUUCUUCCUUUCAGGCAUUUUCUGUAAGUGUUCAUCUAGCUAACUUUAUCAUUCUA
rnacentral:lncRNA from 1 species